AAGGCUUAGUUGAGUUGAGUUGAUAUAUUAAUUUAAUGGAAAAAUAGUGUCUGAUAGUGUGAUUAUCAGGAGAGCAGAAGCUAGCCAAUGCCGCUGCCAUAGAUUCCAUAGAUGUCAGAACACCUGAUAAUAACUGAUUUGUACGCACUUUUUGCCCGUACCUUCUAUAAUUCCAAGAACAUAUAUUUGAUUAUCAUAAGACCUUUCAUCCCAGAUUAAACUGGAUUAAAAGCCACUACUUAAGCUUGUAAUCCAUAUGUGGUUUAGUUUUCAUUAGCACAUUUUCCCAACUUUGCAGAUACUCCAAAUAUG
rnacentral:misc_RNA from 1 species